GCACCCUCACCCUCUGCAGCAACUUCUCCUAUACUUCUCUCCACCUCACUUCCCAGUGGAGUUUGGGGGAUAACCAGGCCUGAUGAAAUCAGUGGUCAGCCCUGUUUUCUGCUGGGAUAAACCUUGUGGAAGAUCUCUUCAUGCACAAAGUGACACAGAUGAAGAAAAUGAAGUACAACAAAAUCAAGCUCUUCGGCACAGGCUUCCAGGCACCAAGAGAUUUGGGACUAGCAUACAGAUCCACCACCCCACAAACUUACCUUUAUCACAGUUACAUAUUAAGAAUUUUAUAUUUGUACAUCUUAAUGCACCUUGUUUUGUAGGGCUGAUUGGAGUUAAGACUUUUUUUGCCCUCUGGCGACAUUGUAACUGUGAAAGCAAUGGAC
rnacentral:lncRNA from 10 species